rnacentral:rRNA from 1 species
GAUGAACGCUGGCGGCGUGCCUAAUACAUGCAAGUCGAGCGAACAGACGAGGAGCUUGCUCCUCUGACGUUAGCGGCGGACGGGUGAGUAACACGUGGAUAACCUACCUAUAAGACUGGGAUAACUUCGGGAAACCGGAGCUAAUACCGGAUAAUAUAUUGAACCGCAUGGUUCAAUAGUGAAAGACGGUUUUGCUGUCACUUAUAGAUUGAUCCGCGCCGCAUUAGCUAGUUGGUAAGGUAACGGCUUACCAAGGCAACGAUGCGUAGCCGACCUGAGAGGGUGAUCGGCCACAUUGGAACUGAGACACGGUCCAGACUCCUACGGGAGGCAGCAGUAGGGAAUCUGCCGCAAUGGGCGAAAGCCUGACGGAGCAACGCCGCGUGAGUGAUGAAGGUCUUCGGAUCGUAAAACUCUGUUAUUAGGGAAGAACAAAUGUGUAAGUAACUAUGCACGUCUUGACGGUACCUAAUCAGAAAGCCACGGCUAACUACGUG